UGUUGUGUUUGAACUUGAGGUUGUGGUAUUUUUGAAUUGAGUUUGUGGCGGUUUUUGAACUUGAGUUUGUGGCGUGUUUGAACUUGAGAUUGUGGCGUGUUUGAACUUGAGUUUGUGGUGGUUUUUGAACUUGAGGUUGUGAAAAUUGUUAAAACUUGAGAAUUAGGUGUUGGUUGAACUUGAGUUUGUGGGGUUUUUUUAGCUUGAGUUUGUGGUUUUUGUUGAACUUGAGUUUGUGUCGUUUUUGAGCUUGAGGUUGUGGUGUUUUUAAACUUGAGUUUGCGUGUUUGUUUAACUUGAGUUUGUGUGUUUUUUUAACUUGAGUUUGUUGUUUCUGAAGUUGAGGUUUUGGCAAUUGUUGAACUUGAGUCUGUUGUUUUUAGUGAACUUUAGUUGGUGGCAAUUGUUGAACUUGAGUUUGUGGCAUUUGUUAAACUUGAGUUUGUGACGUGUUUAAACAUGAUUUUGUGGUGUUUUUGAACUCGAGUUUGUGGUAUUGGUUGAACUUGAGGUUGUGGAAAUUGUUAAACUUGAGAAUUGGGUAUUGGUUGAACUUUAGUUUGUGUGUUUGUUGAACUUGAGUUUGUGUCGUGUUUGAACUUCAGUUUGUGGUGUUUUUGAACUCGAGUUUUUGUGUUUAUUGAACUUCAGUUUGUGUCGUGUUUGAACUUGAGUUUGUGGUGUUUUUUGAACUUGAGGUUGUGUGUUUUUUUGAACUUGAGUUUGUGGCGGUUUUUGAACUUGAGGUUGUGGCAAUUGUUGAACUUGAGUUUGUGACGUGUUUGAACUUGAUUUUGUGGUGUUUUUGAACUUGAGUUUGUGGUGUUUUUGAACUUGAGUUCGUGGUGUUUGUGGAAUUUGAGUUUGUGUCCUGUUUGAACUUGAGGUUGUGGUGUUUUUCAACUCGAGUUUUUGUGUUUGUUGAACUUCAGUUUGUGUCGUGUUUGAACUUGAGUUUGUGGUGUUUUUUGAACUUGAGUUUGUGGUGUUUUUUGAACUUGAGGUUGUGGUGUUUUUGAACUUGAGUUUGAGGCGGUGUUUGAACUUGAGGUUGUUGCAAUUGUUAAACUUGAGAUUCGGGUGUUGGUUGAACUUAAAACUUUGCCAUUUGUUGAACUUGAGUUUGUGGUGUAUGUUGAACUCCAGCUUGUGUUGUGUUUGAACCUGAGUUUGUGGCGGUUUUUGAACUUGAGUUUGUGGCGUGUUUGAACUUGAGAUUGUGGCGUGUUUGAACUUGAGUUUGUGGUGGUUUUUGAACUUGAGGUUGUGAAAAUUGUUAAAACUUGAGAAUCAGGUGUUGGUUGAACUUGAGUUUGUGGUUUUUGUUGAACUUGAGUUUGUGGUUUUUGUUGAACUUGAGUUUGUGUCGUGUUUGAACUUGAGGUUGUGGUGUUUUUGAACUUGAGGUUUCUUGUUUGUUUAACUUGAGUUUGUGUGUUUUUUGAACUUGAGUUUGUUGUUUCUGAACUUGAGGUUUUGGCAAUUGUUGAACUUGAGUCUGGUUUUUAGUGAAAUUUAGUUGGUUGCAAUUGUUGAACAUGAGUUUAUGGCGUUUGUUGAACUUCAGUUUGUGACGUGGAUGAACUUGAGUUUGUGUUAUUUUUGAACUUGAGGUUGUGGCAAUUUCUAAAAUUGAGAAUUGGGUGUUGGUUGAACUUAAAAGUUUGACAUUUGUUGAACUUGAGUUUGUGUGUUUGUUGAACUUGAGUUUGUGUCGUGUUUGAACUUGAGGUUGUGGUUUUUUUGAACUCGAGUUUUUGUGUUUGUUGAACUUCAGUUUGUGGAAAUUUUUAAACUUGAGGAUUGGGUGGUGGUUGAACUUGAGUUUGUGGUGUUUUUUGAACUUGAGGUUGUGGUGUUUUUGACUUGAGUUCGUGGCGUGUUUGAACUUGAGGUUGUCGCAAUUGUUAAACUUGAGAUUUGGGUGUUGGUUGAACUUAAAACUUUGCCAUUUGUUGAACUUGAGUUUGUGGUGUAUGUUGAACUCCAGCUUGUGUUGUGUUUGAACUUGAGGUCGUGGUAUUUUUGAAUUGAGUUUGUGGAGGUUUUUGAACUUGAGUUUGUGGCGUGUUUGAACUUUAGAUUGUGGCGUGUUUGAACUUGAGUUUGUGGUGGUUUUUGAACUUGAGGUUGUGAAAAUUGUUAAAACUUGAGAAUCAGGUGUUGGUUGAACUUGAGUUUGUGGUUUUUGUUGAACUUGAUUUUGUGCUUUGAUUGAACUUUAGUUUAUGUUUUUUUUGUACUUGAGUUUGUGUUGUUUUUGAACUUGAGGUUGUGGAAAUUGUAAAAACUUGAGAAUCAGGUGUUGGUUGACUUGAGUUUGUGGUUUUUGUUGAACUUGAGUUUGUGUGUUUUUUUAACUUGAGUUUGUUGUUUCUGAACUUGAGGUUUUGGCAAUUGUUGAACUUGAUAAUUGGGUAUUGGUUGAACUUGAGUUUGUGUGUUUGUUGAACUUGAGUUUGUGUCGUGUUUGAACUUCAGUUUGUGGUGUUUUUUGAACUUGAGGUUGUGGUGUUUUUGAACUUGAGUUUUUGGUGUUUUUGAACUUGAGGUUGUGGCAAUUGUUGAACUUCAGUUUGUGACGUGUUUGAACUUGAUUUUGUGGUGUUUUUGAACUCGACUUUGUUUUGUUUUUGAACUUGAGUUCGUGGUGUUUGUUGAACUUGAGUUUGUGUCGUGUUUGAACUUGAGGUUGUGGUGUUUUUGAACUCGAGUUUUUGUGUUUGUUGAACUUCAGUUUGUGUCGUGUUUGAACUUGAGUUUGUGGUGUUUUUUGAACUUGAGGUUGUGGUGUUUUUGAACUUGAGUUUGUGGCGGUUUUUGAACUUGAGGUUGUUGCAAUUGUUGAACUUGAAAUAAAAACCCAAAUAUGAACCCAAAUAUAUAUUUUUUCUUUUUACAUUUUUUUGGUGUAACCAACUCCAAAAGGUCUUAAACAUGUUCCUAAAAAGGUUUUGGACAGUGAUUUUAACCCUAACACCAAAAACCUUAAACCUUACCCUAGCCCCAAAACCUAAUACCCGGGUAUUACCUUCAGGAAGCCCGAACACCCCAAAUAUUUUUUUUUCUUUUUUUUUUUUUUCUAACUAACUCCCAAAGGUCUGAAACAUGUUCCUUAAAAAAUAUUGGACAGUUAUUUUGACCCUAACGCCAAAAACCUUAAACCUAACCCUGGCCCCAAAACCACCCGGGUAUUACCUUCAGGAAGCCCGAACACCCCAAAUAUUUUUUUUUCAUUUAUCUUUUUUUUUUUUGUCUAACUUUAUCCCAAAGGUUGGAAAAGAAUUCCUACAAUGGUUUUGGACAGUGAUUUUUACCCUCACGCCCAAAAACCUUAAACCUUACCCUAGCCCCAUAACCUAAUACCCGGGUAUUACCUUCAGGAAGCCCGAAGACCCCAAAUAUAUAUUUUUAUUUUCAUUUUUUUUUUCGUCUAACUAACUCCAAAAGGUCUGAAACAUGUUCCUUAAAAAAUAUUGGAGAGUGAUUUUAACCCUUACGCCAAAAACCUUAAACCUAAUCCUAGCCCCAUAACCAAAUACUUAAACCUGAAGGGUAUUACCUUCAGGAAGCCCGAACACCCCAAAUAUUUUUUUUGUCAUUUUACAUUUUUUUUUUGGUGUAACCAACUCCAAAAGGUCUUAAACAUGUUCCUUAAAAGGGUUUGGACAGUGAUUUUAACCCUAACGCCAAAAACCUUAAACCUUACCCUAGCCCCAAAACCUAAUACCUUCAGGAAGCCCGAAAACCCCAAAUAUUUUUUUUCUUUUUUCUUUUUUUUUUGGUCUAACUAACUCCAAAAGGUCUGAAACAUGUUCCUUAAAAAAUAUUGGACAGUGAUUUUAACCCUAACGCAAAAAACCUUAAACCUAAUCCUAGCCCCAAAACCUAAUACCCGGGUAUUACCUUCAGGAAGCCCGAACACCCCAAAUAUUUUUUUUUCAUUUAGCUUUUUUUUUUUGUCUAACUUAAUCCCAAAGGUUGGAAAAGAGUUCCUACAAAGGUUUUGGACAGUGAUUUUUACCCUCACGCCCAAAAACCUUAAACCUUACCCUAGCCCCAUAACCUAAUACCCGGGUAUUACCUUCAGGAAGCCCGAACACCCCAAAUAUAUAUAUAUAUUUUCUUUUUUUUUUGUCUAACUAACUCCAAAAGGUCUGAAACAUGUUCCUUAAAAAAUAUUGGACAGUGAUUUUAACCCUGACGCCAAAAACCUUAAACCUAAUCCUAGCCCCAUAACCUAAUACUUAAACCUGAAGGGUAUUACCUUCAGGAAGCCCGAACACCCCAAAUAUUUUUUUUGUCAUUUUACAUUUUUUUUGGUGUAACCAACUCCAAAAGGUCUGAAUCUCUUUCCUUAAACGGUUUUGGACAGUGAUUUUAACCCUAACGCCAAAAACCUUAAACCUUACCCUAGCCCCAAAACCUAAUACCUUCAGGAAGCCCGAAAACCCCAAAUAUUUUUUUCCUUUUUCUUUUUUUUGGUCUAACUAACUCCAAAAGGUCUGAAACAUGUUCCUUAAAAAAUAUUGGACAGUGAUUUUAACCCUCACGCCAAAAACCUUAAACCUAAUCCUAGCCCCAAAACCUAAUACCCGGGUAUUACCUUCAGGAAGCCCGAACACCCCAAAUAUUUAUUUUUCAUUUUUUUAUUGGUCUAACUAACUCCAAAAGGUUGGAAAAGACUUCCUACAAAGGUUUUGGACAGUGAUUUUAACCCUCACGCCAAAAACCUUAAACCUUACCCUAGCCCCAUAACCUAGGGUAAAGCCCCUUUACCUAAUACCCGGGUAUUACCUUCAGGAAGCCCGAACACCCCAAAUACUUUUUUUUCAUUUAUCUUUUUUUUUGUCUAACUAACUCCAAAAGGUUGGAAAAGACUUCCUACAAAAGACUAACUCCAAAAGGUUGGAAAAGACUUCCUACAAAGGUAAUACAAAGUAUUACCUUCAGGAAGCCCGAACACCCCAAAUAUAUAUAUAUUUUUUUCUUUUUUUUUUGGUCAAACUAGCUCCAAAAAGUCUGAAACAUGUUCCUUAAAAAUAUUGGACAGUGAUUUUAACCCUAACGCCAAAAACAUUAAACCUAAUCCUAGCCCCAUAACCUAAUAAUUAAACCUGAAGGGUAUUACCUUCAGGAAGCCCGAACACCCCAAAUAUUUUUUUUUCAUUUAUCUUUUUUUUUUUUUGUCUAACUAACUCCAAAAGGUCUGAAAAGAGUUCCUACAAAGGUUUUGGACGGUGAUUUUAACCCUUAAACCUUACCCUAGCCCCAUAACCUAAUACCCGGGUAUUACCUUCAGAAGCCCAAAAACCCCCCAAAUUUUUUUUUUAUUUUUCGUUAGUUUUUGCUCUAACUAACUCCAACCUUACCUUCAGGAAGCCCGAACACCCCCAAAAAUUUUUUUUUCAUAUUACAUUUUUUUUGGUGUAACCAACUCCAAAAGGUCUGAAACAUGUUCCUAAAAAGGUUUUGGACAGUGAUUUUAACCCUUACGCCAAAAACCUUAAACCUUACCCUAGCCCCAUAACCUAAUACCCGGGUAUUACCUUCAGGAAGCCCGAACACCCCAAAUAUUUUUUUUUCAUUUAUCUUUCUUUUUUUUGUCUACCUAACUCCAAAAGUUUGGAAAAGACUUCCUACAAAGGUUUUGGACAGUGAUUUUAACCCUAACACCAAAAACCUUAAACCUUACCCUAGCCCCAAAACCUAAUACCUGGGUAUUACCUUCAGGAAGCUUGAACACCCCAAAUAUUUUUUUUUCAUUUUACAUUUUUUUUGGUGUUACCAACUCCAAAAGGUCUUAAACAUGUUCCUAAAAAGGUUUUGGACAGUGAUUUUAAACCUAACGCCAAAAACCUUAAACCUUACCCUAGCCCCAUAACCUAAUACCUGGGUAUUUCCUUCAGGAAGCCCGAAGACCCCAAAUAUAUUUUUUCAUUUUUUUUUUUUUUUUGGUCUAACUAACUCCAAAAGGUCUGAAAAGAGUUCCUACAAAGGUUUUGGACGGUGAUUUUAACCCUUAAACCUUACCCUAGCCCCAUAACCUAAUACCCGGGUAUUACCUUCAGAAGCCCAAAAACCCCAAAUAUAUAUUUUUUAUUUUCCGUUAGUUUUUGCUCUAACUAACUCCAAAAGGUUGGAAAAGACUUCCUACAAAGGUUUUGGACAGUGAUUUUAACCCUAACGCCAAAAACCUUAAACCUUACUAUAGCCCCAUAACCUAAUACCCGGGUAUUACCUUCAGGAAGCUUGAACACCCCAAAUAUUUUUUUUUCAUUUUACAUUUUUUUUGGUGUAACCUACUCCAAAAGGUCUGAAACAUGUUCCUAAAAAGGUUUUGGACAUUGAUUUUAACCCUAACGCCAAAAACCUUAAACCUAAUCCAAGCCCCAUAAACUAAUACCUGGGUAUUUCCUUCAGGAAGCCCGAAGACCCCAAAUAUAUUUUUUUCUUUUUUCUUUUUUUUUGGUCUAACUAACUCCAAAAGGUUGGAAAAGAGUUCCUACAAAGGUUUUGGACAGUGAUUUUAACCCUAACACCAAAAACAUUAAACCUUACCCUAGCCCCAAAACCUAAUACCCAGGUAUUACCUUCUGGAAGCCCGAACACCCCAAAUAUUUUUUUUUUCAUUUUACAUUUUUUUUUGGUGUAACCAACUCCAAAAGGUCUUAAACAUGUUCCUAAAAAGGUUUUGGACACUGAUUUUAACUCUAACGCCAAAAACCUUAAACCUUACCCUAGCCCCAUAACCUAAUACCUGGGUAUUACCUUCAGGAAACCCGAACACCCCAAAUAUUUUUUUUUUCUUUUUCUUUUUUUUUUGUCUAACUAACUCCCAAAGGUCUGAAACAUGUUCCUUAAAAAAUAUUGGACAGUUAUUUUAACCCUAACGCCAAAAACCUUAAACCUAACCCUAGCCCCAAAACCUAAUACCCGGGUAUUACCUUCAGGAAGCCCGAACACCCCAAAUAUAUAUUUUUUAUUUUUCUUUAUUUUUGGUCUUACUUGCUCUCAAAGGUUGGAAAAGAGUUCCUACAAAGGUUUUGGACAUUGAUUUUAACCCUAACGCCAAAAACCUUAAACAUUACCCUAGCCCAGAAACCUAGUAUUACCUUCAGGAAGCCCGAACACCCAAAAAAAUUUUUUUUUCAUUUUACAUUUUUUUUGGUGUAACCAACUCCAAAAGGUCUGAAACAUGUUCCUAAAAAGGUUUUGGACAGUGAUUUUAACCCUUACGCCAAAAACCUUAAACCUUACCCUAGCCCCAUAACCUAAUACCCGGGUAUUACCUUCAGGAAGCCCGAACACCCCAAAUAUUUUUUUUUCAUUUAUCUUUUUUUUUUUGUCUAACUAACUCCAAAAGGUUGGAAAAGACUUCCUACAAAGGUUUUUGACAGUGAUUUUAAGCCUCACGCCAAAAACCUUAAACCUUAACCUAGCCCCAUAACCUAAUACCCGGCUAUUACCUUCAGGAAGCCCGAACGACCCAAAUAUAUAUUUUUUCUUUUUCUUUUUUUUUUUGGUCAAACUAGCUCCAAAAGGUCUGAAACAUGUUCCUUAAAAAAUAUUGGACAGUGAUUUUAACCCUUACGCCAAAAACCUUAAACCUAAUCCAAGCCCCAUAACCUAAUACUUAAACCUGAAGGGUAUUACCUUCAGGAAGCCCGAACAACCUAAAUAUUUUUUUUUUCAUUUUACAUUUUUUUUUGGUGUAACCAACUCCAAAAGGUCUGAAUCUUGUUUCUUAAAAGGUUUUGGACAGUGAUUUUAACUCUAACACCAAAAACCUUAAACCUUACCCUAGCCCCAAAACCUAAUACCUUCAGGAAGCCCGAAAACCCCAAAUAUUUUUUUUUCUUUUUCCUUUUUUUUUGGUCUAACUAACUCCAAAAGGUCUGAAACAUGUUCCUUAAAAAAUAUUGGACAGUGAUUUUAACCCUAACGCCAAAAACCUUAAACCUUACCCUAGCCCCAAAACCUAAUACCUUCAGGAAGCCCGAAAACCCCAAAUAUUUUUUUCCUUUUUCUUUUUUUUUGGUCUAACUAACUCCAAAAGGUCUGAAACAUGUUCCUUAAAAAAUAUUGGACAGUGAUUUUAACCCUCACGCCAAAAACCUUAAACCUAAUCCUAGCCCCAAAACCUAAUACCCGGGUAUUACCUUCAGGAAGCCCGAACACCCCAAAUAUUUAUUUUUCAUUUUUUUAUUGGUCUAACUAACUCCAAAAGGUUGGAAAAGACUUCCUACAAAGGUUUUGGACAGUGAUUUUAACCCUCACGCCAAAAACCUUAAACCUUACCCUAGCCCCAUAACCUAGGGUAAAGCCCCUUUACCUAAUACCCGGGUAUUACCUUCAGGAAGCCCGAACACCCCAAAUACUUUUUUUUCAUUUAUCUUUUUUUUUGUCUAACUAACUCCAAAAGGUUGGAAAAGACUUCCUACAAAAGACUAACUCCAAAAGGUUGGAAAAGACUUCCUACAAAUGUAAUACAAAGUAUUACCUUCAGGAAGCCCGAACACCCCAAAUAUAUAUAUAUUUUUUUCUUUUUUUUUUGGUCAAACUAGCUCCAAAAAGUCUGAAACAUGUUCCUUAAAAAUAUUGGACAGUGAUUUUAACCCUAACGCCAAAAACAUUAAACCUAAUCCUAGCCCCAUAACCUAAUAAUUAAACCUGAAGGGUAUUACCUUCAGGAAGCCCGAACACCCCAAAUAUUUUUUUUUCAUUUAUCUUUUUUUUUUUUUGUCUAACUAACUCCAAAAGGUCUGAAAAGAGUUCCUACAAAGGUUUUGGACGGUGAUUUUAACCCUUAAACCUUACCCUAGCCC
rnacentral:lncRNA from 1 species